UUUGUUAUGAAAUGUCUCUCCUGCUCAUUUAUUUGAUGGAGUGCACAGUCAAGUAAAACCAGCAACAGUGCCAAAAGAGGGGCAGGGGCACAGUGUAAGAGUGUGUGUGUGUGUGUGUGUGUGUGUGUGUGUGUGUGUGUGUGUGUGUGUGUGUGU